AUUGAACGCUGGCGGCAGGCCUAACACAUGCAAGUCGAGCGAGCGGCGGACGGGUGUGUAAUGUAUGGGGCCUGCCCGCUAGAGGGGGAUAACUACUGGAAACGGUAGCUAAUACCGCAUACUAUCGGAUAACCCAUAUGGGAUUAGCUAGUAGGUGAGGUAAUGGCUCACCUAGGCGACGCUCCCUAGCUGGUCUGAGAGGAUGAUCAGCCAGACGGGGACUGAGACACGGCCCAGACUCCUACGGAGGCAGCAGUGGGGUAUAUUGCACAAUGGGCGCAAGCAUGAUGCAGCCAUGCCGAGUGUAGGAAGAAGACACUUGGAUUGUAAAGUACUUUCAGGCUGGUGGCGUUAUUGGCAGAAGAAUCAGCUGCUAACUCCGUGGCAGCAGCCGCGGUAAUAC
rnacentral:rRNA from 1 species